UACGGAAGGCAGCAGUGGGGAAUUUUGGACAAUGGGCGCAAGCCUGAUCCAGCCAUGCCGCGUGAGUGAAGAAGGCCUUCGGGUUGUAAAGCUCUUUCGGACGGAAAGAAAUCGCGCAGGCUAAUACCUUGCGCGGAUGACGGUACCGUCAUAAGAAGCACCGGCUAACUACGUGCCAGCAGCCGCGGUAAUACGUAGGGUGCGAGCGUUAAUCGGAAUUACUGGGCGUAAAGCGUGCGCAGGCGGUUGAUUAAGACAGGCGUGAAAUCCCCGGGCUUAACCUGGGAACUGCGCUUGUGACUGGUCAGCUAGAGUGCGGCAGAGGGGGUGGAAUUCCACGUGUAGCAGUGAAAUGCGUAGAGAUGUGGAGGAACACCGGAUGGCGAAAGGCAGCCCCCUGGGGCCGAUACUGACGCUCAUGCACGAAAGCGUGGGUAGCAAACAGGAUUAAGAUACC
rnacentral:rRNA from 1 species